GACGAACGCUGGCGGCGUGCUUAACACAUGCAAGUCGAACGGAAAGGCCCUGCUUUUGUGGGGUGCUCGAGUGGCGAACGGGUGAGUAACACGUGAGUAACCUGCCCUUGACUUUGGGAUAACUUCAGGAAACUGGGGCUAAUACCGGAUAGGAGCUCCUGCUGCAUGGUGGGGGUUGGAAAGUUUCGGCGGUUGGGGAUGGACUCGCGGCUUAUCAGCUGGUUGGUGGGGUAGUGGCUUACCAAGGCUUUGACGGGUAGCCGGCCUGAGAGGGUGACUGGCCACAUUGGGACUGAGAUACGGCCCAGACUCCUACGGGAGGCAGCAGUGGGGAAUAUUGCACGAUGGGCGGAAGCCUGAUGCAGCAACGCCGCGUGCGGGAUGACGGCCUUCGGGUUGUAAACCGCUUUCGCCUGUGACGAAGCGUGAGUGACGGUAAUGGGUAAAGAAGCACCGGCUAACUACGUG
rnacentral:rRNA from 1 species